rnacentral:rRNA from 1 species
GACGAACGCUGGCGGCGUGCUUAACACAUGCCAGUCGAACGGUAAGGCCCUUCGGGGUCCCCGAGUGGCGAACGGGUGCGUAACACGUGGGUAAUCUGCCCUGCACAUCGGGAUAAGCCUGGGAAACUGGGUCUAAUACCGAAUAGGACCACAGGACACAUGUCCUGUGUUGGGAAGCUUUUGCGGUGUGGGAUGGGCCCGCGGCCUAUCAGCUUGUUGGUGGGGUUAUGGCCUACCAAGGCGACGACGGGUAGCCGGACUGAGAGGGUGUCCGGCCACACGGGGACGGAGAUACGGCCCAGGCUCCGACGGGGGGUAGCAGUGGGGAAUAUUGCACAAUGGGCGAAAGCCUGAUGCAGCGACGCAGCGUGGGGGAUGACGGCCGUCGGGUUGUAAACCUCUUUCACCACCGAUGAAGGUCGGGGUUUUCUCGGGCUGACGGUAGGUGGAGAAGAAGCACCGGCCAACUACGUG